UCGCACUUCCAGUAGACCUAAAUCGCUGCGCUCAUGGAGCAUUCGGCUAUUUGGUGGGACAUAUGGUGCC
rnacentral:snoRNA from 1 species